UCUAUUUAGUUCUGGUCAGUUCCAACGUGAGCGGCCACAACCCAAGAUCUUCUCUAGAUAUGGUUUUCAAGCCUAAAGACUCAUCUUCUACUUACUGGUCGUUCCCCCAGCUGGAUGAUGGCUCUCUUCAGGCUCUCUGAAACAACAGGCUUGGGUGGGAAAGCACCAUCCUUCUUUGGAAACAGGCUCACAGCUUUUCUAAAGAGGGCACUAGUCUUAACUCCUCCUAUAGCUACCACUUUGCAGUUACCACUCCUAAGUGCUUCAGUGCAGAUGCAAUUGGCUUUGUAAACUCUGAAAAACUCAAAAUUACAGGAUUCUCAAUUAACCCAGAUUACAGGUUAUAACAAAGAGCUCCUCCCUUAGCAAAGUUGUACAGAGUAGCUAGCUCUAAUUUGCAUUGCUCUAUCUCUUUUUCUCUAGUAGCACUUUGUUAAAAGUAGCAAGAAGGAACCAGAAAACACUAACAUUCUAAAUGUCCCUACCUUUUUACAUUGCUACAACCUUAGUUAACCCAUGAUAUACAAGGUGAGGUAGCUAGUAUCUGAAGAUUGCUCCCAAUGAACCAAAUCUCCCAGUGUUCACACUCUGGUGUAGAAUCUCUCCUUUAAGUCUGAACUGAUCCUGUGACUUACUUUAAAGCCUUAAGAAGAUCUGGCAGCUUUCAGUUUUUGUAUACUUGGGAUCCAGCUGUCAUGUAAAAAAGCCCAAGCUAAGCCACAUGGAGAGAGAGGUCACAGCCCUUGCAGCCAUCCCACCACAACGCCACACACACACGAGUGAAGUCAUCUUGAAUAUUCCAUCUCCAGCUACCAUCUGACAGAAACCCAUCAAAGACCCUUGUGAGACUGGCAGAAGUUGAUUACAGUCAACCAACAGAAUUGUGAGAGUUUCUGGGAACCAGGAGCCUUCUCUCUUGUUCCACCAUCCUCAACACAUAGCUUUUCUCGUAUGGUCCAAGAUGCUUGCUCAAGCUCCAGCCUUUUAACCCAUGGAAGGUGAAGGGAACAAAGAAAGAUAGGGCCGGCCGAGUGGCGCAAUGGUUAAGAAC